rnacentral:rRNA from 1 species
UACGUAGGUGGCAAGCGUUGUCCGGAAUUAUUGGGCGUAAAGCGCGCGCAGGUGGUUUCUUAAGUCUGAUGUGAAAGCCCACGGCUCAACCGUGGAGGGUCAUUGGAAACUGGGGAACUUGAGUGCAGGAGAGAAGAGUGGAAUUCCACGUGUAGCGGUGAAAUGCGUAGAGAUGUGGAGGAACACCAGUGGCGAAGGCGACUCUCUGGCCUGUAACUGACACUGAGGCGCGAAAGCGUGGGGAGCAAACAGG